AGAGUUUGAUCCUGGCUUAGGAUGAACGCUAGCGACAGGCUAACACAUGCAAGUCGAGGGGCAGCAUAAAAGUAGCAAUACUUUGGUGGCGACCGGCGCACGGGUGAGUAACGCGUAUGCAACCUACCUAUCAGAGGGGAAUAACCCGGCGAAAGUCGGACUAAUACCGCAUAAAACAGGGACACCGCAUGGUGAUAUUUGUUAAAGAAAUUCGCUGAUAGAUGGGCAUGCGUUCCAUUAGGUAGUUGGUGAGGUAACGGCUCACCAAGCCGACGAUGGAUAGGGGAACUGAGAGGUUGGUCCCCCACACUGGUACUGAGACACGGACCAGACUCCUACGGGAGGCAGCAGUGAGGAAUAUUGGUCAAUGGGCGAGAGCCUGAACCAGCCAAGUCGCGUGAAGGAAGAAGGAUCUAUGGUUCGUAAACUUCUUUUGCAGGGGAAUAAAGUGCAGGACGUGUCCUGUUUUGUAUGUACCCUGAGAAUAAGGAUCGGCUAACUCCGUGCCAGCCGCCGC
rnacentral:rRNA from 1 species